GGGGAAUAUUGCACAAUGGGGGAAACCCUGAUGCAGCGACGCCGCGUGAGUGAAGAAGUAUUUCGGUAUGUAAAGCUCUAUCAGCAGGGAAGAAAAUGACGGUACCUGACUAAGAAGCCCCGGCUAACUACGUGCCAGCAGCCGCGGUAAUACGUAGGGGGCAAGCGUUAUCCGGAUUUACUGGGUGUAAAGGGAGCGUAGGUGGUUCGGUAAGUCAGAUGUGAAAGCCCGGGGCUCAACCCCGGGACUGCAUUUGAAACUAUCGGACUAGAGUGCAGGAGAGGUAAGUGGAAUUCCUAGUGUAGCGGUGAAAUGCGUAGAUAUUAGGAGGAACACCAGUGGCGAAGGCGGCUUACUGGACUGUAACUGACACUGAGGCUCGAAAGCGUGGGGAGCAAAC
rnacentral:rRNA from 1 species